GGCGACGUGGCCGAGUGGUCAGGCAGAGGUCUGCAAAACCUCCUACGGCGGUUCGAAUCCGCCCGUCGCCUCCA
rnacentral:tRNA from 1 species